rnacentral:sRNA from 1 species
CGAACUGAUUGACCAUCACCAAGGUGGGAC